rnacentral:rRNA from 1 species
CCUACGGGGGGCAGCAGUAGGGAAUCUUCCACAAUGGGCGCAAGCCUGAUGGAGCAACACCGCGUGAGUGAAGAAGGGUUUCGGCUCGUAAAGCUCUGUUGUUGGAGAAGAACGUGCGUGAGAGUAACUGUUCACGCAGUGACGGUAUCCAACCAGAAAGUCACGGCUAACUACGUGCCAGCAGCCGCGGUAAUACGUAGGUGGCAAGCGUUAUCCGGAUUUAUUGGGCGUAAAGCGAGCGCGGGCGGUUGCUUAGGUCUGAUGUGAAAGCCUUCGGCUUAACCGACGAAGUGCAUCGGAAACUGGGCAACUUGAGUGCAGAAGAGGACAGUGGAACUCCAUGUGUAGCGGUGGAAUGCGUAGAUAUAUGGAAGAACACCAGUGGCGAAGGCGGCUGUCUGGUCUGCAACUGACGCUGAGGCUCGAAAGCAUGGGUAGCGAACAGGAUUAGAUACCCUUGUAGUC